GCGGAAUAGCUCCGGGAAACUGGAAUUAAUACCGCAUACGCCCUACGGGGGAAAGAUUUAUCGGGGAAGGAUUGGCCCGCGUUGGAUUAGCUAGUUGGUGGGGUAAAGGCCUACCAAGGCGACGAUCCAUAGCUGGUCUGAGAGGAUGAUCAGCCACAUUGGGACUGAGACACGGCCCAAACUCCUACGGGAGGCAGCAGUGGGGAAUAUUGGACAAUGGGCGCAAGCCUGAUCCAGCCAUGCCGCGUGAGUGAUGAAGGCCUUAGGGUUGUAAAGCUCUUUCACCGAUGAAGAUAAUGACGGUAGUCGGAGAAGAAGCCCCGGCUAACUUCGUGCCAGCAGCCGCGGUAAUACGAAGGGGGCUAGCGUUGUUCGGAAUUACUGGGCGUAAAGCGCACGUAGGCGGAUAUUUAAGUCAGGGGUGAAAUCCCGCAGCUCAACUGCGGAACUGCCUUUGAUACUGGGUAUCUUGAGUAUGGAAGAGGUAAGUGGAAUUCCGAGUGUAGAGGUGAAAUUCGUAGAUAUUCGGAGGAACACCAGUGGCGAAGGCGGCUUACUGGUCCA
rnacentral:rRNA from 1 species